GGGGAAUUUUCCGCAAUGGGCGAAAGCCUGACGGAGCAAUCUCGCGUGAGGGAUGACGGCCUAUGGGUUGUAAACCUCUUUUUUCAGGGAGGAAUAAAUGACGUGUACCUGAAGAAUAAGCAUCGGCUAACUCCGUGCCAGCAGCCGCGGUAAGACGGAGGAUGCAAGUGUUAUCCGGAAUCACUGGGCGUAAAGCGUCUGUAGGUGGUUUAAUAAGUCAACUGUUAAAUCUUGAAGCUCAACUUCAAAAUCGCAGUCGAAACUAUUAGACUAGAGUAUAGUAGGGGUAAAGGGAAUUUCCAGUGGAGCAGUGAAAUGCGUAGAUAUUGGAAAGAACACCGAUGGCGAAGGCACUUUACUGGGCUAUUACUAACACUCAGAGACGAAAGCUAGGGUAGCAAAUGGGAUUAGAUACCCCAGUAGUC
rnacentral:rRNA from 1 species